UACGGAGGAUGCGAGCGUUAUCCGGAUUCAUUGGGUUUAAAGGGUGCGUAGGCGGACUAUUAAGUCAGUGGUGAAAUCCUGCAGCUUAACUGCGGAACUGCCAUUGAUACUGAUAGCCUUGAGUUUGGUUAAGGCAGGCGGAAUGUGUAAUGUAGCGGUGAAAUGCUUAGAUAUUACACAGAACACCAAUUGCGUAGGCAGCUUACUGAGCCAACACUGACGCUGAGGCACGAAAGCGUGGGGAUCGAACAGG
rnacentral:rRNA from 1 species